rnacentral:rRNA from 1 species
UUUAUGGAGAGUUUGAUCCUGGCUCAGGAUGAACGCUGGCGGCGUGCCUAAUACAUGCAAGUCGAGCGAACGGACGAGAAGCUUGCUUCUCUGAUGUUAGCGGCGGACGGGUGAGUAACACGUGGAUAACCUACCUAUAAGACUGGGAUAACUUCGGGAAACCGGAGCUAAUACCGGAUAAUAUUUUGAACCGCAUGGUUCAAAAGUGAAAGACGGUCUUGCUGUCACUUAUAGAUGGAUCCGCGCUGCAUUAGCUAGUUGAUAAGGUAACGGCUUACCAAGGCAACGAUGCAUAGCCGACCUGAGAGGGUGAUCGGCCACACUGGAACUGAGACACGGUCCAGACUCCUACGGGAGGCAGCAGUAGGGAAUCUUCCGCAAUGGGCGAAAGCCUGACGGAGCAACGCCGCGUGAGUGAUGAAGGUCUUCGGAUCGUAAAACUCUGUUAUUAGGGAAGAACAUAUGUGUAAGUAACUGUGCACAUCUUGACGGUACCUAAUCAGAAAGCCACGGCUAACUACGUGCCAGCAGCCGCGGUAAUACGUAGGUGGCAAGCGUUAUCCGGAAUUAUUGGGCGUAAAGCGCGCGUAGGCGGUUUUUUAAGUCUGAUGUGAAAGCCCACGGCUCAACCGUGGAGGGUCAUUGGAAACUGGAAAACUUGAGUGCAGAAGAGGAAAGUGGAAUUCCAUGUGUAGCGGUGAAAUGCGCAGAGAUAUGGAGGAACACCAGUGGCGAAGGCGACUUUCUGGUCUGUAACUGACGCUGAUGUGCGAAAGCGUGGGGAUCAAACAGGAUUAGAUACCCUGGUAGUCCACGCCGUAAACGAUGAGUGCUAAGUGUUAGGGGGUUUCCGCCCCUUAGUGCUGCAGCUAACGCAUUAAGCACUCCGCCUGGGGAGUACGACCGCAAGGUUGAAACUCAAAGGAAUUGACGGGGACCCGCACAAGCGGUGGAGCAUGUGGUUUAAUUCGAAGCAACGCGAAGAACCUUACCAAAUCUUGACAUCCUUUGACAACUCUAGAGAUAGAGCCUUCCCCUUCGGGGGACAAAGUGACAGGUGGUGCAUGGUUGUCGUCAGCUCGUGUCGUGAGAUGUUGGGUUAAGUCCCGCAACGAGCGCAACCCUUAAGCUUAGUUGCCAUCAUUAAGUUGGGCACUCUAAGUUGACUGCCGGUGACAAACCGGAGGAAGGUGGGGAUGACGUCAAAUCUCAUCAUGCCCCUUAUGAUUUGGGCUACACACGUGCUACAAUGGACAAUACAAAGGGCAGCGAAACCGCGAGGUCAAGCAAAUCCCAUAAAGUUGUUCUCAGUUCGGAUUGUAGUCUGCAACUCGACUACAUGAAGCUGGAAUCGCUAGUAAUCGUAGAUCAGCAUGCUACGGUGAAUACGUUCCCGGGUCUUGUACACACCGCCCGUCACACCACGAGAGUUUGUAACACCCGAAGCCGGUGGAGUAACCUUUUAGGAGCUAGCCGUCGAAGGUGGGACAAAUGAUUGGGGUGAAGUCGUAACAAGGUAGCCGUAUCGGAAGGUGCGGCUGGAUCACCUCCUUUCU